CUACGGGGUGCAGCAGUGAGGAAUAUUGCACAAUGGGGGGAACCCUGAUGCAGCAACGCCGCGUGGAGGAUGACGCAUUUCGGUGUGUAAACUCAUUUUAUAUGUCAAGAAAAUGACGGUAGCAUAUGAAUAAGCACCGGCUAACUCCGUGCCGGCAGCCGCGGUAAUACGGAGGGUGCAAGCGUUACUCGGAAUCACUGGGCGUAAAGGACGCGUAGGCGGGUUGGAAAGUCAGGUGUGAAAUCCUACAGCUUAACUGUAGAACUGCACUUGAAACUUCUAAUCUAGAGUAUGGGAGGGGGAGAUGGAAUUAGUGGUGUAGGGGUAAAAUCCGUAGAUAUCACUAGGAAUACCUAAAGCGAAGGCGAUCUCCUGGAACAUUACUGACGCUAAGGCGUGAAAGCGUGGGGAGCAAACAGGAUUAGAUACCCUCGUAGUC
rnacentral:rRNA from 1 species